rnacentral:rRNA from 1 species
AUGUUAUCAACUUCAGGGGGGUACGGCCAGUUCAUAUACCUGCAGUCUGGAAACUCAAGGUCCCUCCGAAAAAUUCAUUUCUUUCUCUGGUUGUUCUCUCAUAACAAGCUGAUGACUAGGGAUAACUUGAGGAAAAGACACAUAAUUAAGCCUCUUGAGUGUGUCUUCUGUUGUGAGCAUGAAACUGUCUAUCCUCUUUUGUUUGAUUGUGUAGUUGCCAAAGCCAUCUGGCCCAAAAUUAGAGAGUUUUUUGGAGCACCAGUUGGCUUUGAUUACCUUUCUGUAGCUAAGUACUACUGGAUAGCUAACAGCAAAUGCUUUAAACACUGCUUGUGCUGCUGUUAUGUGGAAUAUCUGGAAAUUUAG